CACUAAAAGUGCAAUUUUCACAUGCCUUUGUCAGGCUUGUCCUGUUCAGCCCCCUAGGCCAAUUGCCUACUGAACACUGAGGAAUCUUUUAUUUUCCUAUUCAUUCCCUGAGAACAAGAAGACGGCUUUGAUCAUUAUUAACACAUUUGUAGGCAUACUCAUAUAUCAGGAAGAGCUGUAAAUUGUAUCUCAGCUAUUAAAACCAAGCCAAGACACAAUAUUUCCUGAACAGAGUGUACUGCUUAGGGAACAUCUGCCUUCAGAGUGUCACUGUUUGCGUUGUUUUGGACUAAAGGUGCUGAUGCUGGCAGUGUUAUCACAACAAGGCCUGGCUGAAUAGCUGCAAUAGCAGGUAAAUAGGACAAAG